GAUGAACGCUGGCGGCGUGCCUAAUACAUGCAAGUCGAGCGAACGGACGAGAAGCUUGCGUCUCUGAUGUUAGCGGCGGACGGGCGAGUAACACGUGGAUAACCUACCUAUAAGACGGGGAUAACUUCGGGAAACCGUAGCUAAUACCGGAUAAUAUUUUGAACCGCAUGGAUCAAAAGUGAAAGACGGUCUUGCUGUCACUUAUAGAUGGAUCCGCGCUGCAUUAGCUAGUUGGUAAGGUAACGGCUUACCAAGGCAACGAUGCAUAGCCGACCUGAGAGGAUGAUCGGCCACACUGGAACUGAGACACGGUCCAGACUCCUACGGGAGGCAGCAGUAGGGAAUCUUCCGCAAUGGGCGCAAGCCUGACGGAGCAACGCCGCGUGAGUGAUGAAGGUCUUCGGAUCGUAAAGCUCUGUUAUUAGGGAAGAACAUAUGUGUAAGUAACUGUGCACAUCUUGACGGUACCUAAUCAGAAAGCCCCGGCUAACUUCGUG
rnacentral:rRNA from 1 species